GUCCCUGUAGCGCAAUGGAUAGCGCGUUUGACUACUAAUCCGAAGGUUGUGGGUUCGAAACCCACUUGGGAUG